rnacentral:rRNA from 1 species
GAUGAACGCUGGCGGCGUGCCUAAUACAUGCAAGUCGAGCGAACGGACGAGAAGCUUGCUUCUCUGAUGUUAGCGGCGGACGGGUGAGUAACACGUGGAUAACCUACCUAUAAGACUGAGAUAACUUCGGGAAACCGGAGCUAAUACCGGAUAAUAUUUUGAACCGCAUGGUUCAAAAGUGAAAGACGGUCUUGCUGUCACUUAUAGAUGGAUCCGCGCUGCAUUAGCUAGUUGGUAAGGUAACGGCUUACCAAGGCAACGAUGCAUAGCCGACCUGAGAGGAGGAGCAGUCACACUGGAACGGAGACACGGGCCAGACUCCAACGGGAGGCAGCAGUGGGGAAUAUGGGAAAAUGGGGGAAAGCCUGAUCAAGACAUGCCGCGUGUGGGAAGAAGGUCGUCGGAUUGUAAAGCACUUUAAGGUGGGAGGAAAGGAAGAAAGUUAAGACCUUGCCGUUUUGGCGUUACCAACAGAAUAAGCACAGGCUAACUUCGUG